AUUGAACGCUGGCGGCAUGCUUUACACAUGCCAGUCGAACGGUAACAGGCCUUUGGGUGCUGACGAGUGGCGAACGGGGGAGUAAUGCAUCGGAACGUACCCAGAGGUGGGGGAUAACGCAGCGAAAGCUGUGCUAAUACCGCAUGUGAUCUGAGGGUGAAAGCGGGGGACCGAGCAGCAAUGUUUGGCCUCGCGCCUUUGGAGCGGCCGAUGUCGGAUUAGCUAGUUGGUGGGGUAAAGGCCUACCAAGGCGACGAUCCGUAGCUGGUCUGAGAGGACGACCAGCCACACUGGAACUGAGACACGGCCCAGACUCCGACGGGAGGCAGCAGUGGGGAAUUUUGGACAAUGGGCGCAAGCCUGAUCCAGCAAUGCCGCGUGCGGGAAGAAGGCCUUCGGGUUGUAAAGCGCUUUUGGCAGGGACGAAGCGGUGUCCGCUAAUACCGGGCGGUAAUGACGGUACCUGCAGAAUAAGCACCGGCUAACUACGUG
rnacentral:rRNA from 1 species